AUCUAGGUGACGAGUCUCAAAUAGGACGAAACGCGCGUUCUGGAU
rnacentral:hammerhead_ribozyme from 1 species